rnacentral:rRNA from 1 species
AUGCAGUUCACCGGCAAGCCUCUACCGGUUGCAACAGCACGGGCGAGCAGUUUGCUUUUUCGUUUGUUUUGUCCUUUUAGGUGGUGGCGGUCGAGGACAGAGGGCCUGUUCUUUUCUACUGCUAUUUUUAGUAGAAAAAUGGUGGUUUUUUGUUGUGUUGUGCAGUUUGCAUGUCAUGCUGGAGACGUUCAUUGCACUGUCGAUGGCAGUUUAUACUUUGUAAUUGAGAAGUGCCUAUGUAAAAUUUCAGUUCCUCGUUGCACCACCAGUAUAAAUUUCAGCUCAGAUGUCCCCUGGAUUUGUGGGAUGCAUCCCCUUAUGUUGAAGGGUUUUGCCCUCCAAUGUGUGUUUUCAGCAUUUUUGCAUUAUACGUGCAGUGCAUAUGUGCCGCCCCCUAUAGUGCACUAG